GAAAUGCGAUAAGUAAUGCGAAUUGCAGAAUCCGUGAGUCAUCGAAUCUUUGAACGCACAUUGCGCCCUUUGGUAUUCCGAAGGGCAUGCCUGUUCGAGCGUCAUUAUCACCACUCAAGCCCGGCUUGUUGUUGGCGUCAGCGCGGCCUUAACGGUUGUGCUCCGCCUAAAGAUAAUGACGGCGUCUGUGAGGACUCCUGUACAUUGAGCUUUCGGGCACGUACGUGGUUAGAAGUCCAGGCGCCGGUCACCGUCCCUCGGGACACUUUUUACCCAAGGUUGACCUCGGAUCAGGUAGGGAUACCCGCUGAACUUAA
rnacentral:misc_RNA from 1 species